GUAAGCUGGACAGCCGCGCGGGCGGGGCGAAAGGCCCGUCUGUGAGGAAAGUCCGGGCUCCGCAGGGCAAGGAUAACGGGUAACACCCGCCGGGGGCGACCCUAGGAAAAGUGCAACAGAGAUAUACCGCCCACAGUCACACCUGUGACCGUGAGUAAGGGUGGAAAGGCGAGGUAAGAGCUCACCCGACGGCUGGGAACAGUCCGUCGCUGUAAACUCUAUCCGGAGCAACGCCGUGGGAACGCAAUAGACCGGCCCGGUCGCGUUCAGGGGGCGGCUGGAGCGUGGGGGCAACUCCACGUCGAGAUAGAUGGCUGUCUUAAAAGACAGAACCCGGCUUACAGGCUUACUUGU
rnacentral:RNase_P_RNA from 1 species